rnacentral:rRNA from 1 species
CCUACGGGAGGCAGCAGUGGGGAAUUUUGGACAAUGGACGCAAGUCUGAUCCAGCAAUGCCGCGUGCAGGACGAAGGCCUUCGGGUUGUAAACUGCUUUUGUACGGAACGAAACGGUCUGCUUUAAUACAGUGGGCUAAUGACGGUACCGUAAGAAUAAGCACCGGCUAACUACGUGCCAGCAGCCGCGGUAAUACGUAGGGUGCGAGCGUUAAUCGGAAUUACUGGGCGUAAAGCGUGCGCAGGCGGUUAUAUAAGACAGAUGUGAAAUCCCCGGGCUCAACCUGGGACCUGCAUUUGUGACUGUAUAGCUAGAGUACGGUAGAGGGGGAUGGAAUUCCGCGUGUAGCAGUGAAAUGCGUAGAUAUGCGGAGGAACACCGAUGGCGAAGGCAAUCCCCUGGACCUGUACUGACGCUCAUGCACGAAAGCGUGGGGAGCAAACAGGAUUAGAUACCCUGGUAGUCCACGCCCUAAACGAUGUCAACUGGUUGUUGGGUCUUCACUGACUCAGUAACGAAGCUAACGCGUGAAGUUGACCGCCUGGGGAGUACGGCCGCAAGGUUGAAACUCAAAUGAAUUGACGG